UGCCUACGGGGGGCAGCAGUGGGGAAUAUUGCACAAUGGGCGAAAGCCUGAUGCAGCAACGCCGCGUGAACGAAGAAGGCUCUUGGGUCGUAAAGUUCUGUUCUGAGGGAAGAAGAAAGUGACGGUACCUCAGGAGAAAGCCCCGGCUAACUACGUGCCAGCAGCCGCGGUAAUACGUAGGGGGCAAGCGUUAUCCGGAAUUACUGGGUGUAAAGGGAGCGUAGACGGUUAAGUAAGACUGGAGUGAAAGGCCGGGGCCCAACCCCGGGACUGCUCUGGAAACUAUUGAACUUGAGGGCAGGAGG
rnacentral:rRNA from 1 species